rnacentral:rRNA from 1 species
UGGUCUUAGCUUGCUAAGACUGAUGGCGACCGGCGCACGGGUGCGUAACGCGUAUGCAACUUGCCUCACAGAGGGGGAUAACCCGUCGAAAGACGGACUAAUACCGCGUACACUCUAUGUUGGGCAUCCAAUGUAGAGGAAAUGAAAUUCGCUGUGAGAUAGGCAUGCGUCCCAUUAGCUAGUUGGUGAGGUAACGGCUCACCAAGGCGACGAUGGGUAGGGGAACUGAGAGGUUGAACCCCCACACUGGUACUGAGACACGGACCAGACUCCUACGGGAGGCAGCAGUGAGGAAUAUUGGUCAAUGGGCGAGAGCCUGAACCAGCCAAGUCGCGUGAAGGAUGACUGUCUUAUGGAUUGUAAACUUCUUUUAUACGGGAAUAACAAGAGUCACGUGUGGCUCCCUGCAUGUACCGUAUGAAUAAGCAUCGGCUAACUCCGUGCCAGCAGCCGCGGUAAUACGGAGGAUGCGAGCGUUAUCCGGAUUUAUUGGGUUUAAAGGGUGCGUAGGCGGCCUGUUAAGUCAGCGGUGAAAUCUAGGAGCUUAACUCCUAAAUUGCCAUUGAUACCGGCGGGCUUGAGUGUAGAUGAGGUAGGCGGAAUGCGUGGUGUAGCGGUGGAAUGCAUAGAUAUCACGCAGAACUCCGAUUGCGAAGGCAGCUUACUAAGGUACAACUGACGCUGAAGCACGAAAGCGUGGGUAUCAAACAGGAUUAGAUACCCUGGUAGUCCACGCAGUAAACGAUGAUAACUGGGCGUAUGCGAUAUACAGUAUGCUCCUAAGCGAAAGCGUUAAGU